GGCUCAGAACGAACGCUGGCGGCGCGUCUUAAGCAUGCAAGUCGAACGGCAUGAGGAAGCUUGCUUCCUCAGAGAGUGGCGGACUGGUGAGUAACACGUGGGUGACCUACCCUUGAGAUGGGGAUAGCCGUUAGAAAUAGCGGAUAAUACCGAAUACGCUCUACGGACUCUGGUUUGUAGAGGAAACAGGCUACGGCCUGGCUCGAGGAUGGGCCCGCGUCCCAUUAGCUAGUUGGUGAGGUAAGAGCCCACCAAGGCGACGAUGGGUAUCCGGCCUGAGAGGGUGUACGGACACAUUGGGACUGAGAUACGGCCCAAACUCCUACGGGAGGCAGCAGCUAAGAAUAUUCCGCAAUGGACGAAAGUCUGACGGAGCGACGCCGCGUGGAUGACGAAGGCCGAAAGGUUGUAAAAUCCUUUUGCUGAUGAAGAAUAAGCGUGGUAGGGAAUGACCGCGUGAUGACAUUAGUCGGUGAAUAAGCCCCGGCUAACUACGUGCCAGCAGCGGC
rnacentral:rRNA from 1 species